rnacentral:rRNA from 1 species
GAUGAACGCUGGCGGCGUGCCUAAUACAUGCAAGUCGAGCGAACAGACGAGGAGCUUGCUCCUCUGACGUUAGCGGCGGACGGGUGAGUAACACGUGGAUAACCUACCUUUAAGACUGGGAUAACUUCGGGAAACCGGAGCUAAUACCGGAUAAUAUAUUGAACCGCAUGGUUCAAUAGUGAAAGACGGUUUUGCUGCCACUUAUAGAUGGAUCCGCGCCGCAUUAGCUAGUUGGUAAGGUAACGGCUUACCAAGGCAACGAUGCGUAGCCGACCUGAGAGGGUGAUCGGCCACACUGGAACUGAGACACGGUCCAGACUCCUACGGGAGGCAGCAGUAGGGAAUCUUCCGCAAUGGGCGAAAGCCUGACGGAGCAACGCCGCGUGAGUGAUGAAGGUCUUCGGAUCGUAAAACUCUGUUAUUAGGGAAGAACAAAUGUGUAAGUAACUAUGCACGUCUUGACGGUACCUAAUCAGAAAGCCACGGCUAACUACGUG